GACGAGCGCUGGCGGCGUGCUUAACACAUGCAAGUCGAACGGAAAGGCCCUGCUUUUGUGGGGUGCUCGAGUGGCGAACGGGUGAGUAACACGUGAGUAACCUGCCCUUGACUUUGGGAUAACUUCAGGAAACUGGGGCUAAUACCGGAUAGGAGCUCCUGCUGCAUGGUGGGGGUUGGAAAGUUUCGGCGGUUGGGGAUGGACUCGCGGCUUAUCAGCUUGUUGGGGGGGUAGUGGCUUACCAAGGCUUUGACGGGUAGCCGGCCUGAGAGGGUGACCGGCCACAUUGGGACUGAGAUACGGCCCAGACUCCUACGGGAGGCAGCAGUGGGGAAUAUUGCACAAUGGGCGGAAGCCUGAUGCAGCAACGCCGCGUGCGGGAUGACGGCCUUCGGGUUGUAAACCGCUUUCGCCUGUGACGAAGCGUGAGUGACGGUAAUGGGUAAAGAAGCACCGGCUAACUACGUGCCAGCAGCCGCGGUGAUACGUAGGGUGCGAGCGUUGUCCGGAUUUAUUGGGCGUAAAGGGCUCGUAGGUGGUUGAUCGCGUCGGAAGUGUAAUCUUGGGGCUUAACCCUGAGCGUGCUUUCGAUACGGGUUGACUUGAGGAAGGUAGGGGAGAAUGGAAUUCCUGGUGGAGCGGUGGAAUGCGCAGAUAUCAGGAGGAACACCAGUGGCGAAGGCGGUUCUCUGGGCCUUUCCUGACGCUGAGGAGCGAAAGCGUGGGGAGCGAACAGGCUUAGAUACCCUGGUAGUCCACGCUGUAAACGGUGGGUACUAGGUGUGGGGUCCAUUCCACGGGUUCCGUGCCGUAGCUAACGUUUUAAGUACCCCGCCUGGGGAGUACGGCCGCAAGGCUAAAACUCAAAGGAAUUGACGGGGCCCCGCACAAGCGGCGGAGCAUGCGGAUUAAUUCGAUGCAACGCGUAGAACCUUACCUGGGUUUGACAUGGAUCGGGAGUGCUCAGAGAUGGGUGUGCCUCUUUUGGGGUCGGUUCACAGGUGGUGCAUGGCUGUCGUCAGCUCGUGUCGUGAGAUGUUGGGUUAAGUCCCGCAACGAGCGCAACCCUUGUUCACUGUUGCCAGCACGUUAUGGUGGGGACUCAGUGGAGACCGCCGGGGUCAACUCGGAGGAAGGUGGGGAUGACGUCAAGUCAUCAUGCCCCUUAUGUCCAGGGCUUCACGCAUGCUACAAUGGCUGGUACAGAGAGUGGCGAGCCUGUGAGGGUGAGCGAAUCUCGGAAAGCCGGUCUCAGUUCGGAUUGGGGUCUGCAACUCGACCUCAUGAAGUCGGAGUCGCUAGUAAUCGCAGAUCAGCAACGCUGAGGUGAAUACGUUCCCGGGGCU
rnacentral:rRNA from 1 species